rnacentral:lncRNA from 1 species
GGCCGUGGGAUGCCAGAGCGUAGAGAGGGGGGAACCACCAUGCGGGGUCGAGCCGAUGAGGUAAGGCCCAUAGGAUCGAGCCGAUGGGGCUAGGGCGACGAGGUUGGCGCCGACAAGGUCGGGGCGGCCGCAAGCAUGGCCGAAGCAUGGGCUCGGGGCUCGAGGCCACGGGACGCUAAAGCACAGGAAGAGGAGAACC